AGUAGUCAUACGCUCGUCUCAAAGAUUAAGCCAUGCAUGUGUAAGUAUAAAUAGUCUACUUUAAAACUGCGAAUGGCUCAUUAUAUCAGUUAUAGUUUAUUUGAUGAAAUGUACUACUUGGAUAACCGUAGUAAUUCUAGAGCUAAUACAUGAUCGUAUCCUCGACUUUGAAGAGGUGUAUUUAUUAGAAUGAAAACCAAUAGACUUUGUCUGUUUGUGAGUAAUAAUAACUUGUCAUAUCGCAUGCUUUUGUAGCGAUGUGUCUUUUAAGUUUCUGCCCUAUCAGCUUUCGAUGGUAGUGUAUUGGACUAGCCAUGGCAGUAACGGGUAACGAAGAA
rnacentral:rRNA from 1 species